UAAGUAAUGUAUUAUCUAAAAACAUUGAAAGUGUGUGAAAAUUAUGUAAACUGUAUAAUCGAUAGUUAGGUAAUAACAAUUAUAAAUGGUAAAUUAUUAGGCGUGUUCUGGCGAUGCAGUUUUUAGCAACAUUGUUACUAGUUCAGUGAACAAAUUGUUUUGGCGACAUAGUUUAUAGUAAUUGAUAGCUGAAUGCACUUUUCGGCAACCGGGCAUAGAUAAUAAAAGUUGUCGGAAUAGGCAAAUAAUUGAAAACUACGUUUACUGUUUUCGGUUACUAAUAAUCUACUGAUAAGGAUUAACAUUAAAUUAUUCUAUUCAUUUUCUAUAACAAAAAUAUUACACAAUGAAGAGUAAACAAAACGUUUUGACGAGUAACCGACCAAGUAGCCAUUAUCAAACAACAGC